rfam:Canis lupus familiaris chromosome X, whole genome shotgun sequence.
GCCUGGGUGGCUCAGUGGUAGAGCAUCUGCCUCUGGCUCAGGCUGUGAUCCUAGGGUCCUGGGAUUGAGUCCCACUUCGGGCU